CGGAAAGAGAGGGAUUCGAACCCUCGGUACAAAUAACUCGUACAACGGAUUAGCAAUCCGCCGCUUUAGUCCACUCAGCCAUCUCUCCCAAUUGAAAAAAAAAAGAUAAUUACUAUGUUACAUUACGCGUAAAGUAAGGAUUAAAAAAGUCUUUCUCUCUCUUUAUCUUUAUAUAGAAUAUAGAUAUGUACAACUUUUAUCAGCAAUUCCAUUUAGAUAAAGUAAGGACUGGAAAGAUCCAAUAUAAAGAAAAAUAAAAAUAAAGAAGACUUAUUUGCUUUGAUUUUAUUCGAAAGAGCCUUUUUUUAUUCC
rnacentral:tRNA from 1 species